rnacentral:rRNA from 1 species
UACGGAGAGGGCUAGCGUUAUUCGGAAUUAUUGGGCGUAAAGGGCGCGUAGGCUGGUUAAUAAGUUAAAAGUGAAAUCCCGAGGCUUAACCUUGGAAUUGCUUUUAAAACUAUUAAUCUAGAGAUUGAAAGAGGAUAGAGGAAUUCCUGAUGUAGAGGUAAAAUUCGUAAAUAUUAGGAGGAACACCAGUGGCGAAGGCGUCUAUCUGGUUCAAAUCUGACGCUGAAGCGCGAAGGCGUGGGGAGCAAAC